AUAUAGAGAAAACACACAGCG
rnacentral:snRNA from 1 species